GGAUCAAUUGAUUGGUCAUGCCUUGGUAUGUACUGGUCAUAUUGGUUCUCACCUUCUAAUGAACCAUAAUGUCAUUUAUUUGAUGUUAUGGGGAAUUAGGACUGUUACCUUGAAAAAAUUAGAGUGCUCAAAGCAGGCAUCUUGCUUGAAUAUAUUAGCAUGGAAUAAUGGAAUAGGACG
rnacentral:rRNA from 1 species